rnacentral:sRNA from 1 species
GACUCAAAUGGAUGCUAAAAAGCCAAGGAAAUGCGAUUUGACUCCCUUCCUGGUUUUGAGAGCAAUAAAGAAACAAAAGUUUACCUCUGCAAAGAAAGGGGCUUCCUGUAAGAGACGGGCUUAUCAGUGAGUGUCACACAGUGGAAGAGGAUAUCCGAGGGUCAUUCAUUGUCUCAUUUCCGUGUCUCAUCAGCACUUCCUAUACAAAAAGCAGGAACAAAACAAAAUCCUGAUCCGACCAUUUGGUGUUAGGCAAAGGAAUGGAAAUCAGUUCAAGCUGAAGAGACAGCAAACAGCAGAGAUGUUAAUUGCUAGUUCUGUCUAUGUUUUUAGGUUGGCACACUAUUAUUUAUGGUAAUGCAUUCACCUGUUAAAUGCAAAUGGAAGACUCGAACUAGAAGAACUUGUAAUGAUCAUUGCAAGUUAACAUUAAAACGUUUAAAAUAA